CACUCUCUUGCCCAAUCAAACAAAUACUAUUAGUGAAAUUUUACUAGUUACAUUUUACUGCUAUUAGUUAAAGGUUAUAAAGUACUGUAGUGCUAAUAAAUUGUUUUGCAUAACAAUAGCAAAUUUAAUAAUGAAACAAGCUAAAUUUUGUACGUCAAUAUAAUUGUUCAACGGAAGUCUGUAACCUAAAACUUAUUAUACGUCAAUCUAAUAAUGGAAUAAAUAUCAAAAUAGAGAAUCAAAAUAGUGCAAAAGAUAAAGAAGAGGAUAGGAAUCUAUUAAAAUAAAUAGUGAAAUUUGUCUUAUAAGACAAAUAUGCUACAGUACUUAAUGGAAAGAGAUAUAAGAGAAAACUAGCCUUAUGACAAGGUACAAAUCUAGGGCAAAAUGAGGUAAUAUGGAAAAGAAUAUGGAAAAUAGAUAUUGGAGAAAAGAAGAAGAAAGAAUGUGCAAGAUAUGUGAAAGGAAUAUAGGAAAGAUUAAAUACCUGGUGGGUAUUAGCUUAGUGGAAUAGCUUAGAAAUACAUAUAGAAUAAAAAUAGAAGAGAAAUUGAUACCAAAUAGAAACCAAGUUCCAUUUCUUAAAUACAACAUCAAAGUUAAAUAAACAUAUAUGUAUAUAUAAAUAUAUAUGUAUUGUCUGAAUUUAUAAAGCUCUAUAUCAUGAUCAUAUAAAAACCUUGUCCUAUACACAUACAUAUGCAUAAAUAUACAUAUAUGUGCAUGUAGUAUAUAUAUAUAUGUACAUGAAUUUCUUGUUCAUGUAACAUUGUAAUAGACAGUAUUAUUAGAAAUAUAUUAACUGCAAAAAUGAAUAAUUAGAUAUUAUCGUAUAAUAAA